GAUGAACGCUGGCGGCGUGCCUAAUACAUGCAAGUCGAGCGAACAGACGAGGAGCUUGCUCCUCUGACGUUAGCGGCGGACGGGUGAGUAACACGUGGAUAACCUACCUAUAAGACUGGGAUAACUUCGGGAAACCGGAGCUAAUACCGGAUAAUAUAUUGAACCGCAUGGUUCAAUAGUGAAAGACGGUUUUGCUGUCACUUAUAGAUGGAUCCGCGCCGCAUUAGCUAGUUGGUAAGGUAACGGCUUACCAAGGCAACGAUGCGUAGCCGACCUGAGAGGGUGAUAGGCCACAUGGGAACUGAGACACGGUCCAGACUCCUAAGGGAGGCAGCAGUAGGGAAUCUUCCGCAAUGGGCGAAAGCCUGACGGAGCAACGCCGCGUGAGUGAUGAAGGUCUUCGGAUCGUAAAACUCUGUUAUUAGGGAAGAACAAAUGUGUAAGUAACUAUGCACGUCUUGACGGUACCUAAUCAGAAAGCCACGGCUAACUACGUG
rnacentral:rRNA from 1 species